rnacentral:rRNA from 1 species
GAUGAACGCUGGCGGCGUGCCUAACACAUGCAAGUCGAACGAAGCGCCUUACCGGAUUCUUCGGUUGAAGGUCUGGUGACUGAGUGGCGGACGGGUGAGUAACGCGUGUGUAACCUGCCCUGUACAGGGGGAUAACAGCUGGAAACGGCUGCUAAUACCGCAUAAGCGCACGAGGAGACAUCUCCUUGUGUGAAAAACUCCGUUGGUACAGGAUGGGACCGCGUCUGAUUAGCUGGUUGGCAGGGUAACGGCCUACCAAGGCAACGAUCAGUAGCCGGUAUGAGAGGCUGAACGGACACAUUGGAACUGAGAAACGGUCCAAACUCCUACGGGAGGCAGCAGUGGGGAAUAGUGCACAAUGGGGGAAACCCUGAUGCAGCAACGCCGCGUGAGUGAAGAAGUAUUUCGGUAUGUAAAGCGCUAUCAGCAGGGAAGAUAAUGACGGUACCUGACUAAGAAGCUCCGGCUAAAUACGUG